rnacentral:rRNA from 1 species
UACGGGGGGGGCAAACGUUGUUCGGAAUUACUGGGCGUAAAGGGCCAGUAGGCGGCCAACUAAGUCGGAUGUGAAAUCCCCAGGCUCAACUUGGGAACUGCAUCCGAUACUGGAUGGCUUGAAUUCGGGAGAGGGAUGCAGAAUUCCAGGUGUAGCGGUGAAAUGCGUAGAUAUCUGGAGGAAUACCGGUGGCGAAGGCGGCAUCCUGGACCGACAUUGACGCUGAACGGCGAAAGCUAGGGGAGCAAACGGG